rnacentral:rRNA from 1 species
UUGACCUCGAAUCAGGUAGGAAUACCCGCUGAACUUAAGCAUAUCAAUAAGCGGAGGAAAAGAAACCAACCGGGAUA